rfam:Myotis lucifugus cont2.52535, whole genome shotgun sequence.
CCAAAGGCUCUUUUCAGAGCCCCCACCCACCUCCUAGGAAGAGCUA